UAUUACUUUACUAUGGUAUGUAAGGUCAUGUAUGCUAUUGGAGUAAAAGCGAGUCGGUAUUGUUGCCUCGCUAUGGUUUCUCUCUCCUCUCUCUAUAUCGGGACAUACUUCAUUAACGCUUUGGAAUUUAUUAGUAUUUUUGUUUUAUUUCAGUAAGUUUUCAUGGAAAAUACAUUUUACGCAGCUCAUCACGGAUGUAAAUUGUUAUAACUAUCGUCGCACAAAGACAUAGAAAACAAGGAUAUCAAUAAUCAAAAAUCAAACAUUUWAUACUCUUUACCUGGCAUUAACCAUUUAUCGAUAUGAAUCAAAGUUCAUUUGUCAUAAUUUCGACAAACAUCAUUUGAUUGGAUGAUUGCUAGAAAUCAUUUCACGCUUUUGACAAUUGAAAAUCUAAUCCAAUCGGAUGUAUUUUGCUCAGGAUGAUAAAGCACAAUAAUCCAGUUUCGAAUUCUCCAAUGCUCUGUGUUAGCCUCAUUUGUGCGCAAAAUAUUCCUAAUUGUGAGAAUGAAAUACAAUAAAAGAAUAUGUUACUUGAUUUUGAGGCUAAUACAGAGCAAACCAGAACUCGAAAUCGGAGUAUUGUCUUCGUGGUGAACACAAGYCGUUGACGUGACAUUUGGACCAACCUCUGUGUUAAGAUAUCAGAAAUGUCUUAAGCAAAACAARAACUUCCGAUGGAAAUGAGCCGGUUGAUAGAGCUAUAGGAGCUGUCAUGGCCACGUCUACGUCCACGUCCACGUCCACACCAACAGCCACGCCAACACUACUAAGUGUUGGAACCAUAGCUGGUAUAGCAAUAGGUGUUGCARUCAUUAUAUUAAUAACAAUCUCCUUACUAAUAUGGCGUUAUCUUCACAAGAAGCACAGGUUGUUGCAUCCCUUUGYGGGUGAGGCGACAAGACACAUGAAGUCCCCAUGUGAAGACCAGAAUAAAACAGUGAAUUGCAGCGAAGAGACGUGAUCAAAGCUAUUAGAGAUUGGGAAUGUAAAAAGUYACACUUUGCCAUGUGGGAUAGAAUGAAAGAUAACAAUGAAACACAACGAACACAGCGAAAAUGCAUUCAAUGUUUUUGAAGUAAUUCUUCAAAGUUCGAAAAUCGCAUUUACGUUUUUAAAAAUUGGGCUACGGUAAUGUUGUAAUUAAAGAUAUCUUUAAUAGACAUUGUAGCUCAAUAGCAAGACGUUUAGCAUUCA